rnacentral:ribozyme from 1 species
UGUUCUUCACUGUUCUUGUUUGAAUCUGUCUCCAUGCUGCGGAAAGGUCUGGACGUCCUCGCAGCCUCGUCGGCU